CCGCUCGACAAUGCUUUCACAAACGUCCUCCCUUCGCAGCUUCUUCUCCCUCGCAUUCUUGCCUUCUCACCGUCGCACCAGAGGCGUCGCCCCUCUCAUCGUUGCUCCUCCGCCAUCUCCGCUGGCAACAUCGCCGCUCCGCCGUCACUGCUCCGCUCCUCCACCGUUUCGCCAACCCACAGUCACCGCCAAAGCCUGGCCUAGGUAUUCUGAACAGUAACUUACAGUUUUCUGAGUCACUGGCGUUCACACCAACAACCUCCAAUGAUUAUCAAUCAUGAGAAAUAUUAGAUUUGGAUGAUUUCAACAUCGAAAAAGCGAUCAAGAAUACAAAGUAUGUACUAGAAAAGCCAAAUAGAAGUAUAGAUCAUCUCUGCUUCUGCAAAGGCUUGGAGUGCAGUAACCCCACAGUCUCAGCAGAGCAGCUUCCUGGUAGCUCAUGUUUGUGGCCACUGAACUGAGAGUGAACAGCUGCACAUUCACUUACUUUUAUUCUCAAUGAAGUGGCUAGAGGCAUUUACUUUUAUGUAUUGCCGACCUGAAAAUGAAGUGGCUAAAGGAGGCGUCUGCUUUCAUGUAUUGCCAAUUUGCUUUUUGUUACAUAUAUCAUGUGAAUGGUCGUCUCUUUAAUGAACUGGUUGUAUGGUGAUUUGUUUUGGCAUGAUUCAUGAAGAAAUAUAUGGGUUCUGCAGUC